CUGCUGCCUCCCCGCCCUCUCCCUAGCCGCUACCGGUCAGGCUUUUUCCCGGUGCGCUGCUUUAUCCCGGGAAGCCGUGUGGGCGCGUCAUCGACUCGUGCCUCCUUUCUUCCGCUUCCGGGUGGUGGCCGCCUUCCUUUAUUUUACAGCGCGAAGGGGAGGCAGGGUAGGGGCCUGCUGAGCUCAGCGCCGCAGCGUGGUCGGGAGCGGCUUUGUUCGCCGAGAGGGCAGUCCUGCGGCGGUUCUGCCGAAGCAUAAAAGCGGAGCCCGGGAGUACAAGAUGGAGGGGUGGGCGCAGAGGCUCUUUAGGGGCUGCCCCGUGCGCGCAGCCCGCCCCGCUGGAGCUCCUCGGCAGCCCCCGGGCUCCUGGCGAGCGCUGAGCGGAGCGCGGAAGCUGGCAGCAGCGAGGGACGUGCGGUAAGAGGGAGCGUGUGUGGGGCUAAAGAACAAAAGCAGUGCGUCCCGCAAGUAACAAAUCUGAGCGUAUUCCCUGCUUUGUGGGGAUGGCGUCUGAACGUUUGGUAGUAGUAACGGCCAUCUGUGUUACUUUCGGAAACCAACCCAUCUUGUGAUCAAGACAUAGAAGAGUUCUUGUUUUCUGUGAUUUAUGCGUUAUGAUUAAAGAGCAAGGUUGUUCACUGCAUGUGCAACAAUUCAUAGUGGAUAACGCUUGUUUAAUCUUUGCAAAAUGUAUGUCUUUUAUAUUUUUGUUUCUUUGUCAAACUGAUGUGUUAUGAAGAAGCUCCCUGAGUCUUAUGUAGAAGAGGCUAAGUGGCCCAGUUUGGCACUUCUGAUCUACCAGAAAGAUGCCUGUUGCUUUAAUGUUCUGGAGAUUCAGGAAGGGAAUUAAGUGAAAUUUAAUUAAAAAGGCAAAGAUGUUACCAUGCUGAACUAGAAUUCUCAAUUAAAAAUUAAUAGACACACAUUAGGUUGUGAUGGAAACUUGAUUGUAUUUGGAAUCCCAUGUCUAAUUCCAGCUAUUUCCACAAGGAUAUGGUUAAUAAGAAAAGAGAAGCGAAAUGGAGACAUCACAUUGAAGGGUCAUAAAUCCUUGUGGGGACAAUGAUUUAAAUCACCCGUUCAUGAGAAGUAUUAAUGGAACUCCCAUGGGAUUUCUGAUGUUUUGCUCUUCUUCCUGUUAGAAGAACUGUUAUCAGUUCAAUUUUGAAAACAGUAACAAAAGCCUAUUCAAACUGUGGAGUUUAAACUCAAUCAUUUCCAGACCUUCUGCAGCUGAGCAAAAUUAGUGGUUAUGAAUUGAUGGUUUGAGUUUCUUAUACGUACACAAGAACAAAGGUGUCUAAGAAUGAUACUGUCACGGAGGCUUUUCCCUUUGGAGGAAAAAUAAAAAAAAAAAUGUGGGUGUGUGUGGCAGGGGUGAAGGGGAGGCAGCUGGUUGAAAAGAUCAGAAGAAAAGGCUUGUUUCAGCUUAUCAGGGCAGGACUUCUCUUUGUGUCCGAGUCAGAUAUGUCUUCCGUACUUGUUGCAGAGCCUGAAAAUGAAACGUUAUUAUAUGCAAUAACAGUUGAGCUCUACUUAAGUGUUUUAUUGUCUCUUGAAGCUUUUUUGAAGCUCCUGUUCAGCGUGCCAGGUGAAUAAUAUGAGGUGUAUCAUCAGGGCAACAUCUGGCAACAUCAACUUGUCCUUUGAGACCAGUUAGAAUGCUCAGUGUACCUACAGUUCUGGACUGCACAGCUAAAAUCUGUGUGGCAUACAUACAUUUUGAAUGCUGAAGAAGAAGCUGUGAAACUUUUAUAGUAAUUUUACCUAACUGGUGAUCUGAGCCAGUUGUUGGAUUUGGAUCCUUUAAUGGGGGGAAGUCAUGCUAAUGAUAAAAGUAGAAGUGUUUUGAGUCCUGUACUGAGGGAAUAGAAUGUAAAAUGUUCAACCUAGAGAGCAGACCUUUAAAUUAGACACUUUUUAGAUGUCAAAGUAAUUAAUACAAUAGUACAAGUUAGUACCAAGUAAUUAGUCCCAGUAUGAUGAGUGUACUAAGUCUGCUUUGGGAAUUGUGAAGCUGUCCUGUGACAAGAACCAUGCGGUGUGUACUUCGGAAUAGAGUAUAAUUGCUGUUCAGUGUAAGCAAGCUUCUUGCAACUUUGUUUCCUGAGCAGAGACUUUCAGACCUUUGUUGCUUAUUUGCAGGUGAUAGCAAUCCUUGAGUCUUUCACUAUUACAAAGGAAGUAUAACUUUGUAUAUGCUAGUUUUCAUACUAAGUUGAGGAGUGUUACCUCUGAGUAUGCUUUGUGCAUCUCUUGGCUUCUUUUUGACUGGGAGUUAAGAAUGGCAGAAUUUUUCACCGGUCUAAAAAAAAAAAAAAAAAAAAAAAAAAAACAUUGCACAAAGCUGAGAAAGUAAAAUUUAUCUGCUAAACACAAGUAUACUAUUAUUGGGUCAAGUACUGAACAAACAAAAGCUAAAGAUAGUAUGUUUGAAAACUGUUCAGUUGCAGCGAGGCAAGAAAAGCUUGUAUUUAGUGUCCACAAGAGGGCUCUGACAGCUCAGAGGUGCCUGCUGAGGGUCCCUGGCUGAGACACUUCACUAAAAUGGCAGGCUGCAGUAACUGAACUCUUGCUGUCAUCGAGGAUGGUUAGAUCUUUUGAAUUCCCUUAUCUUAUAGUGCAACAAUCGCUUGAGAUAAUAAUUGCUAUUACCGGGAAAAUCCUCCAUAAGUAAUCAUAGAAUCAUAGAAUGGCCUGGGUUGAAAAGAACCUCAAAAAUCAUCUAGUUUCAGCCCCGCCCUCCCCCCCCCCCAACUAUGUGCAGGCUUGCCAACCACCAGACCAGGCUGCCCAGAUCCACAUCCAGCCUGGCUUUGAACACCUCCAGGGAUGGGGCAUCCACAACCUCCUUGGAUCCUUGGACAACCUGUUCCAGUGUGUCAUCACUCUGAGUGAAAAACUCCCAAUAUCUGACCUAAACCUCCUCUGUCUCAGUUUAGAACUAUUCCCCUUGUCCUAUCACUAUCCACCCUUGUAAAGAGCAGUUCCCCCUGCUGUUUAUACACUUCAAGUAUUGGAAGGCCACUAUGAGGUAUCCCCAGAGCCUUCUCUUCUCCAAGCUAAACAAUCCCAGUUCCCUCAUGCCUUUCCACAUAUGAGAGGGGCUCCAGCCCUCUGAUCAUCUUAGUGGCCUUCUUCUAUAAGUCUGUUGUGUGUUUUGGUUUUUGUUUUGUUUUGUUUUGUUUUUGUUUUUUUUUUAAUUAAGAAUGUACAUUUUGAGAAAUGUCACACCUGUUGGAAAAACAUCACCAGAAUGUUAAUAAACAUCACUGGCCAUAUCAUGUGCUCCAUGGAACAAGACAGAUACUACCAAGCAUGUCAUCGCAUGUGGAUUUCAACUGUAUUAAAAGUUUCUCCAAGUAAAGCAUUUUGAAUUGAAGCAUUUUGCACACAACAGCAUAUUUGUGAAGUAGACAGAAUUGUUAUGAUGUACCUUAAGUAUAAGUUUAUUUUAGCAGUAUAAACAUGGUACUGUAGUGUUUCAAUAAAGAUUUGUGGUUUUCAUUACAAA